CCAAAAUCUUUUCCUACAAACAAGAAACAAGGGACACGGAGGGCCUUUUGUACCCUGUAGGGCCCGUGGUGUCCUGCUCAGUUUCAGAAUCUACAGCUGUGAAGACACACAUGAUUUUGACCAUGGAACACAACCCGGCCACUGACUAUAUUAGCCAUGAGAUUGGAUGAGCUCAUCAAUGGUAUGAGUACAGAGAAGAGGUCCAAGGACUGAGUCAUGGGGCUCUCCAAUGGUAAGAAGUCAGCGAGAACAGAAGGUUAUCAGCAAAGAAGACUGAGAAGGAAUGACCAGUGUGAGAAGGAAAACCAAAAGUGUGGUAUCCUGGAGGCCAGGUGAAAAAGUAUAUUGGGUCUCUCCUUGAAGAUCUACAAGAAUGAGAGUAAGCAGUGGAAAGCCACGUUUCCAUUCUACAAACGAUAUAAUCAAAUCUGUAAAUGGGCAAAAGCACACACGAGACGCUCCAUAAAACUGUUGGCAAUUAUUUCAGUGAACAGACGCAAGUUGUGCACAAUUCCCCACAGCUGCCGCAGGUGUUGAAGGAAGAGAUUCAAACAACAGAGGGGAAAUAUCGAUCAUCUUUUUGAAUAUGGUGCUAGGCUACCUGCUUGGGUGCCCAGGAGGGGGUGAGGGAGGAAGAGUGCUGGUAAUAUUCCCACACAUGUUUCCCAGCCUAGAGGCUGGACAGCCACAUACCCAUCUGCUGCUACCAAAAAAAAAAAAAAAUUAAAAAAAGACAGGGCUUAAACGCAUGGGACAGGCUGUUUGACCUCUGAGGUUGCAAGGCUCUUGGCCUCCGCCUAACAGCUGACGCCUGGAAUAAGCAGGCCAGCCCCUCAUGGCCUCUGCAGGGGCUAGCACGAGGGUUCCAGCUGAGGGGUGGCUGCAGCUAUGGCAACAAAUGCCCAGGAAUGAGUUAACACCAGCCAAAGGGGUUAAUGGGAGAGGCAAGGGCUUUUAUACAAAUGUGUUGGGGAAAGAAAUGUGAUACAGCGGGAAUGAGGCCCAUUAAUAAAGCUAAGUGAUAAAAUCCACCACGAUUCUUAAAUUGGACUUGCCUACUUAAACUGCUUUUCCAAAUCAGUCUCCUGUAUUCUAGCUGUUCAUUGAGACACUAAGCUUACUUAAAGAAUAAAAACAAUACUAUAAUAUGCAGUGUAAAAGGAGAAAAUAGGAUAGGCAAACAAAGGAAGAAAGAAAAACAAGAAAUGUGUACAACUAUGUUCUGAAUAUGUUCAAACAGCUUGUUAUUACUAACAAUCACCACCUGACAAUAAAUUACCCCCCUACAUGUGGAUUACAAGCUGCAUUAUUAUGAUGCAUUAGAAUCAAUCUGAGUACUAACGAUAAUGGGUGGUUGGGUGGCUAAACAUGGCCCCCAAUUACUGCUGAGUGCCCUCUCUUUCUGUGGCUAAAAAACAACUGCCAUCAAUAUUCUCUCAUAGAGAAUGUUUUCUUAUCAGCAUUAUGUCCUCAAAACAUCCCUGGAAGGCAGGUCGAUAUUGAUGGGCUUUUUUGAAGAAAACAGGGAGGCAUGGAGAGGUUAAGUGAAAAUUAGCAGAAGCAGUACGACCAUCCUACAACAGAAUUUGGGUUAGAAAGAGAGCCAAGGUACAGAGGCAAAGGGCUUUGGACUGCUCCUUUGGUGAUAGCAGCGCCUACUGAAUGCAGUAGAUCAGACUUUUCAGCCACUCUCUCAGCUACAGUGAGAAGCGUAGAUCCCUUAAGCCACUACAAUUAGAAUAUCUGAUUGUAGCUCAAAGCACAGAACCACAGAGUACAGUUUUACUUCUGGCAGAGUACAAUACAACCUCAGAGUAAAAUUUCAUUUCCGAGAAGAAAAAAAGAGUACACUGGAAUCCAGAAACAGUAUAGUCCAUUUGAAUAGUAUUUCCUAGUUUCACG